UGCGCCUCAGGACCCGGGAUGAACCGCCCUGGUGCCACCGUUCUUUCUCCCUCUUUCGCAAGCCGCGGGUGAAGGGAAAAUGAAGAGAAACCAGGGCACACAAACAAAGAAUAACAAAUAACGAAUGGCGGCGCGGCUCCGGGCCUUGCCCGCUAUCUCUCUCUCCGCCGUCCUCCCCCUCCUCCACGGCCGCUCGAGCUUUCCCACCACCGCCGGGAAAUCGCUUAGCUUCCGCCGCUUCUCCUCUAGACCCGUAGCUCGGAGUUCUCCGCUCGUGGAGGUGUCGGCCCAGGCUCGGCGCGGUUUCUCCUUCCAAGAAGACGACUUCGCAUCCACUGCUGAUCUGUGCUUUGAGUCGCCGUUAAAGAUCGUGGAGUAUCCUGACCCCAUCCUGAGAGCGACGAAUAAGCGCAUCAAUACAUUUGAUGAGAACUUGAAGAAGCUGGUCGAAGAGAUGUUUGAUCUUAUGUACAAAACUGAUGGCAUUGGACUCUCAGCACCCCAAGUUGGAAUUAGUGUUCAACUCAUGGUAUUUAAUCCUGCUGGUGAACGUGGUGAAGGAGAGCAAAUCGUUCUUGUGAACCCGGUAGUUUACAAAACCUCAAAAAGGACUAUACUUUACAAUGAGGGUUGCUUAUCGUUUCCAGAAAUCUAUGCAGAUGUAGAGAGACCUGCAUCUGUCAAGGUUGGUGCUCGAGAUAUAACGGGUGGGAGGUUUAAAGUAAACUUGUCUGGUCUUCCUGCACGAGUUUUCCAGCAUGAAUUUGAUCAUUUGCAGGGAACUCUGUUUUUUGAUCGGAUGACUGAAGAUGUUCUUGAAAGCAUUCGUUCAGAUCUGAAGGCUCUAGAAAUGAAGUAUGAAAGCAGAACUGGACUGCCAAGCCCCGAAAGCAUUGAUCAAUAUGAAAGAAGAAAGGAGGUUGCUGGUUUUGCUAGAACAUGAUUUACCUGCAGGAUGCUAAACAUGUUUAGCAGAAGUUAUGUUGGAGUUCACCUAGCGGAAUAGGUCAUAUCAUGAUGACUACAUGUGCCAAGAGCCAAUGACUCUAAAUUCACAAGAUGAAGAACAGAAACAGUCUGUUCAUGAAGUCUUAUGCCCCAUUCCAAUUUCAAGGGAGUUUUGAAGAUCCCAUCUCUGCUUGGUAAGGAAACCUCUCAAGUCUUGUUUAUCAGUGCAUGAAGCACAGCUACCAAAUGAGAUGAUGCAGGACAGCUUAAAGGAUCUUCAGAACCCCUAUUUUAUAAGGAAAGCAGGGAGGGAUGAAGAUUGCAAAACUGGACCUUACAAGACAGAUGUGGAAUGGGUAGCUCUUGGUUUUUUUUCUUUUUCUAUUUCACCCCUCCCUCGCUUGAGCACUAAGGGACCUGUUCAGUCUACUGUAGGCUCCUAUUCAUCUAUUUUCUUGUUACAAGUGAGCGAUAAGGGUUUGCUCCCAGUAUUGUAUAAUGGUGGCUAACAAUUGCCUGCAUGAUCUUUAGAACUCUGAAAUAGUGAGAAUUUUCUACCAGGGUAA